rnacentral:rRNA from 1 species
AUUAGAGUUUGAUCAUGGCUCAGGAUGAACGCUGGCGAGAUGCCUUACACAUGCAAGUCGUACGGGAAUUUUUAAUUCAAGUGGCGGACGGGUGAGUAACACGUAAGAAUUUGCCUUUAGGAGGGGGACAACAACUGGAAACGGUUGCUAAUACCCCAUAUGCUUUCGAGUGAAAUGGAUUUUUCCGCCUAAAGAGAAGCUUGCGGCUGAUUAGCUUGUUGGUGAGGUAAUGGCUCACCAAGGCGACGAUCAGUAUCUGGUUUGAGAGGAUGAUCAGACACACUGGAACUGAGACACGGUCCAGACUCCUACGGGAGGCAGCAGUGGGGAAUUUUCCGCAAUGGGCGAAAGCCUGACGGAGCAAUCUCGCGUGAGGGAUGACGGCCUAUGGGUUGUAAACCUCUUUUUUCAGGGAGGAACAAAAUGACGUGUACCUGAAGAAUAAGCAUCGGCUAACUCCGUGCCAGCAGCCGCGGUAAGACGGAGGAUGCAAGUGUUAUCCGGAAUCACUGGGCGUAAAGCGUCUGUAGGUGGUUUAAUAAGUCAACUGUUAAAUCUUGAAGCUCAACUUCAAAAUCGCAGUCGAAACUAUUAGACUAGAGUAUAGUAGGGGUAAAGGGAAUUUCCAGUGGAGCGGUGAAAUGCGUAGAUAUUGGAA